rnacentral:lncRNA from 1 species
UCAGAGCUCAAGUCUGAACUCUACCUCCAGACAGAAUGAAGUUCAUCUCGACAUCUCUGCUUCUCAUGCUGCUGGUCAGCAGCCUCUCUCCAGUCCAAGGUGUUCUGGAGGUCUAUUACACAAGCUUGAGGUGUAGAUGUGUCCAAGAGAGCUCAGUCUUUAUCCCUAGACGCUUCAUUGAUCGAAUUCAAAUCUUGCCCCGUGGGAAUGGUUGUCCAAGAAAAGAAAUCAUAGUCUGGAAGAAGAACAAGUCAAUUGUGUGUGUGGACCCUCAAGCUGAAUGGAUACAAAGAAUGAUGGAAGUAUUGAGAAAAAGAAGUUCUUCAACUCUACCAGUUCCAGUGUUUAAGAGAAAGAUUCCCUGAUGCUGAUAUUUCCACUAAGAACACCUGCAUUCUUCCCUUAUCCCUGCUCUGGAUUUUAGUUUUGUGCUUAGUUAAAUCUUUUCCAGGAAAAAGAACUUCCCCAUACAAAUAAGCAUGAGACUAUGUAAAAAUAACCUUGCAGAAGCUGAUGGGGCAAACUCAAGCUUCUUCACUCACAGCACCCUAUAUACACUUGGAGUUUGCAUUCUUAUUCAUCAGGGAGGAAAGUUUCUUUGAAAAUAGUUAUUCAGUUAUAAGUAAUACAGGAUUAUUUUGAUUAUAUACUUGUUGUUUAAUGUUUAAAAUUUCUUAGAAAACAAUGGAAUGAGAAUUUAAGCCUCAAAUUUGAACAUGUGGCUUGAAUUAAGAAGAAAAUUAUGGCAUAUAUUAAAAGCAGGCUUCUAUGAAAGACUCAAAAAGCUGCCUGGGAGGCAGAUGGAACUUGAGCCUGUCAAGAGGCAAAGGAAUCCAUGUAGUAGAUAUCCUCUGCUUAAAAACUCACUACGGAGGAGAAUUAAGUCCUACUUUUAAAGAAUUUCUUUAUAAAAUUUACUGUCUAAGAUUAAUAGCAUUCGAAGAUCCCCAGACUUCAUAGAAUACUCAGGGAAAGCAUUUAAAGGGUGAUGUACACAUGUAUCCUUUCACACAUUUGCCUUGACAAACUUCUUUCACUCACAUCUUUUUCACUGACUUUUUUUGUGGGGGGCGGGGCCGGGGGGACUCUGGUAUCUAAUUCUUUAAUGAUUCCUAUAAAUCUAAUGACAUUCAAUAAAGUUGAGCAAACAUUUUACUU